rnacentral:rRNA from 1 species
GACGAACGCUGGCGGCGUGCUUAACACAUGCAAGUCGAACGGAAGGGCCCUGCUUGCAGGGUACUCGAGUGGCGAACGGGUGAGUAACACGUGGGUGAUCUGCCCUGCACUUCGGGAUAAGCUUGGGAAACUGGGUCUAAUACCGGAUAGGAACCAUCUUUAGUGUGGUGGUUGGAAAGUUUUUUCGGUGUAGGAUGAGCUCGCGGCCUAUCAGCUUGUUGGUGGGGUAAUGGCCUACCAAGGCGGCGACGGGUAGCCGGCCUGAGAGGGUGUACGGCCACAUUGGGACUGAGAUACGGCCCAGACUCCGACGGGAGGCAGCAGUGGGGAAUAUUGCACAAUGGGCGCAAGCCUGAUGCAGCGACGCCGCGUGGGGGAUGAAGGCCUUCGGGUUGUAAACUCCUUUCGCUAGGGACGAAGCUUUGUUGUGACGGUACCUAGAUAAGAAGCACCGGCUAACUACGUG